UACGGAGGGGGCUAGCGUUGUUCGGAAUUACUGGGCGUAAAGCGCACGUAGGCGGACCUGCAAGUCGGGGGUGAAAGCCCGAGGCUCAACCUCGGAACUGCCUUCGAUACUGCGGGUCUCGAGUCCGAGAGAGGUGAGUGGAAUUCCUAGUGUAGAGGUGAAAUUCGUAGAUAUUAGGAAGAACACCAGUGGCGAAGGCGGCUCACUGGCUCGGUACUGACGCUGAGGCGCGAAAGCGUGGGGAGCAAAUAGG
rnacentral:rRNA from 1 species